rnacentral:lncRNA from 1 species
CCAGAUGAGCCCAGCCUGCCCAGCCUAGAUCAGCUGGACUUCAGCCAGCCUGCAUACGUAAGUGUGAGAAAGAAGUGCUUGUUGUUGUAUACCUCUGAGUUUGGGGGUGCCUUGUUAGGUAGUUCUACUGGGACUAUAGCUAACUAAUACCUCUUUUCAGCCGGUCUCAUGGCAGCUGUCACAGUGCUCAGCAACCAUGUGUGGUCACUCCCCGCUAGAGCUCUUGGGAGCCCAAGAGAAGAGAGUUCUAUUCUAUUGCCCAGGUUGGAGUGUAGUAGCACAAUCAUAACUCACUGCAUUCUCGACCUCCUAGGCUUAAGCGAUCUUCCCACCUUAGCCUCUGAGUAGCUGGGACCACCGGCACACACCACCAAGCCCAGCUGAUUUUUUGUUUUUGUAGAGAUGAAGUCUCGUUAUGUUGCACAGGCUGAUCUCAAGAACUUCUGGCCUCAAGCAAUCUUCCUGCCUCAGCCUCCUUAAGUGCUGGGAUUACAGGCUUGAGCCAUCAUGCCCAGCCCCAAGACCAAGGUUCUUUGUCCCUGGCACCUGGGUUGGCCUACCCAGUGGCUGGAAACUUUUCCCAAUCUCCUUCAUCUGUACCUGGCUUCAAGAUUCACCUGUGUCUGGAACCCCUGACACUGCAAAUCCUUCCUUUCUUAUUGAUUGAGUCCUCUAUGGCCUAGUGUCACAUCCACACCACUGGGGUCCCUUCCCCAGCAUCAUCUCACCUGCCCCAAGGUUUUCUCUUUGCCACUGACCCCCUCCAUCACCCCAGUUCCCAGCACCCAGCAUGCCUAGAGAUCAGUGUCAGACUGCAGGUUAGGCAAAUUCGCCCUUUUUCUUUCUCUUCUCUUCUCUUUCCUUCCUUCCUACCUUCCUUCCUUCCUUCCUUCCUUCCUUUCUUUCUCCUUCCUUCCUUCCUUCCUUCCUUCCUUCCUUCCUUCCUUCCUUCCUUCCUUCCUUCCUUUUCUCCCUUUCUUUUUUUGACAGAGUCUUGCUUUUGUUGCCCAGGCUGGAGUGCAGUGGCACGAUCUUGGCUUACUGCAAUUUCUGCAUCCCAGGUUCAAGCAAUUCUCCUGCCUCAGCCUCCUGAGUAGCUGAGAUUACAGGCAUGUGCCAACAUGCCAGGCUAAUUUUUGGUUUUUGUUUGUAUUUUUAGGAGACAGGUUUUCACCAUG